rnacentral:rRNA from 1 species
UACGAAGGGGGCGAGCGUUGUUCGGAAUCACUGGGCGUAAAGCGCACGCAGGCGGAUUGAUAAGUCAGGGGUGAAAUCCCGGAGCUCAACUUCGGAAUUGCCUUUGAUACUGUCUGUCUUGAGUCCGGGAGAGGUGAGUGGAAUUCCUAGUGUAGAGGUGAAAUUCGUAGAUAUUAGGAAGAACACCAGUGGCGAAGGCGGCUCACUGGCCCGGUACUGACGCUCAUGUGCGAAAGCGUGGGGAGCAAACAGG